UGGCCUUGGGCAGGAGUAGAAAAGUUUCUUUUAUCAGUGGUCUGAUUUCUAACAAAGACUUGUCCCAGCACUGAAGAGGGGAGAAAAACAUAGGAUACAUCCAGCUUUGUUUACAAUGAGGUUGGCAGCACAAAGCUUCUAAGUGUUCAGACAAGAGGAGUUUUGGAAUCCUGUCAAAAAAACGUUUCUAUAGCUCUAUGUAUGUGGAAGGGAAAUCCUGGAAGAGAAAAGAGUCAGGCUGAAUCCUAGAGCAUUCAUGAACGACACCAACCAACAUGUAGUUCUCUGACACGGAACCAAACUGUGAAGAGCUACUGCCUUCCAGGAGUUAAGUAGCACCACUGGAAUUGCUUCUGCAAACCCUUUGAGCUGGUGUUUGGAGAUUGCUGACCUACCCUGUGUUACUGUAAAACACUCCUACAUCACUGACACAGAACUCUCACCUCACACCUGGUGGCAGGGGCUGAGGCAGAUCUGCCCUUUUUGGAAGUUGUGUUCUAAUUACUAUUUUAAGCCCUAGUGCAGCAGGGUAGAGGGGGAAUGCCAAGAGGUAUUCUGCUUGAACCU